UUUUUAUCUGCAGGAUAAAUUCAUUUGUAUGUUAGCUCUCAAUAAAAGAAAACAAACACUGUUUGUAUGCCAGAAAAGGGCCAUAUGGAUUGCAUACCUCGUAUAUGUCUUGCAAUGGGAUAAUCACCUAAAAAAAUGCAGGUCUUAGAGAAGGAACUCAAUGAUAUCAUGUAGGGAUAAAAUAUGAAAAGUUGGCCUGAAAGUUUUUGUCGCUUUUUAAUUUGAUACUGUUAUCUAUUGGUUGUGGCAGUGACCUUAUUUGUGCCAGUUAGCUGCUAGAAGAACAACUUAACUUUUACAGAUUUUCUGAGGCAUAUGAAAUGAUAUUAUCAUGUGCCCUGCCCUCUCAUCAUUUACAACUGUCCAAGGAUCAGUUUGGGAUUUGAAGAGAGCUGGAGAGAAGCCUAAUGCACACUUUAUCUUCAAAAUCACUAGUGGAAGCACAAAUGCCAUUGGGAGAUGUACAUACGGCCAUGGAGCAAAAAACAUCUCUCCAGAGCACAGGAGUAACUUUGGUGAACAAUCUGCAAGGAUAAGAGAUAAAUUGGAUGUAUCAGUAAAUUAUAAGUUCUGGGGGCCAAUGCCUUCAAUCAUCGUUUGGCGUUGCUUAUUCAGUACCAUCUUUCUUGGGGAUUCAGCUCCAUUACAUUCUUCAAAGGAGCUGGAAAAUAUGAUUAAAUUGGGAUCAUGUUUACAUUCAGAAAUGCUGUCAUUGUUUCUCCGAAAACAAGUUGAAUCAUUAGCACGUCAUGUUAAUGUCGCUCUGAGCUAGGCUUGCGCCUGGGGCCCGCACACCAGCCACUAUGAUGCUAUGACGAUGCUUCGGAGAAGCUAUGAUGCUUCCAUCCGUUGGUAUCCACAACUCAAAACAUUGAGUUCGAUAGGUCUAACUUACGCUGUCAUGUGGACCACUACUCGUGAGUGAGUCUGGGGUGGGAUGUUGUACGUCGUGGGAAUUUUUAUCCUGGCACAUGAUUAUGACGCAGCAAAUCACUUUUGUUUC